rnacentral:pre_miRNA from 1 species
GUUCUUUGGAAGGAUAGCAGCAUAAGCCUGUCUCAAAAUAAUUCUGCAAUGAGACAGGUUUAUGCUGCUAUCCUUCCAAAGAGG